rnacentral:rRNA from 1 species
GCUUAGUAGGGGAGAGAAGCGGAGGUGAUGAGGAGGAGGCAGGGGUUGUACGGAGUUAGUUGGGGUAAAGGGCGUGUAGGCGGGCUGGAGGGUCAGCGGGGAAAAAUCGAGGAGCAACCGCGCGACGUCGGUGGAGACCACCGGGCUAGAGGCGGGAAGAGGGGUGUGGAAUUCCGGGUGUAGCGGUGAAAUGCGCAGAUAUCGGGAAGAACAGACGUGGCGAAGGCGGCACUCUGGGACGGUACUGACGCUGAGACGCGAAAGCGUGGGGAGCGAACAGGAUUAGAUACCCCAGUAGUC